UUCAUAUACUUUACAUCAUAUACUAAUAAUUCUCACAAAAUCCAUAUGUAUUGAAGUAAUCAUUUUAAAUUAGAUGAAUUUGUGGCACACAAAGGUUAAAGUAAAAAUUACUGGGGUAAUUUAAUUACUGGGGUCCAAGAUAUAAAGAGACUUUUUUUUCAUUCAGUUUAUAUCUGCAUCUACUUCUAUGUCUAUAUCCAUAUUUAUGUCUAUGUAUUUUUAGGAGAAGGGUCUUUGCCUGUAGUCCUAAUUAUUCUUCUAUGGCUAAUAUCCAGAAUCUAUAAAGAACUCAAACAAGAAAAAUAACCCUCAAUAAAAAGUGGAUAAAAGACAUAAACAACUUUUCAAAAUAAGAUAGACAAAUGGCCAAAAAUCACAUGAAAAAAUGCUCAAAGUCACUAAUCAUCAAGAAAGUGCAAAGUAAAAUCACAAUGAGAUAUCACUUUUCUCAAUGACCUUUAAAGUCCAAAACAAGAUUCUUACCUGGCUGCAGAGAGAAAGGACUGCUUAUACACUGUUGGUGGGACUGCAAAAUAGUACAAACCAUACGGAGACUCCUCAAAGAACUACAAGUAAACCUACCAUUUGAUCCAUCAAUCCCACUACUGGAUAUCUACUCCAGGCACAGACUGACAAAUAUUGAAUGAUCUCUCUUAUGCUUGGUAUCUAAAAAAAAGUGGAAUUCAGGGAAGCAGAGAACAGAGUGGUGUUUGCCUGGACUGAGGAAUGAGGGAUUAAGGAAAUGUGGCUCAAAAAGUACUGUUUCAAAUAAAUAGAAUUAAUAAAUUUGAGAGAUGUAUUGUACAGCAUGGUGACUAUAGUUAAUAACCCUAUAUACUUGAGAAUUGCUAAGAGAAUACACUUUAAAUGCUCUCAGCAGAAAAAAAAAUAAGCAUGUUUGUUGAUGGAUGAUGUUUGCUAAACAUAUGUACAGCAAUCAUAAUGUUUUAGUCUCUUUGUGGGUUGCUAUUAAUGAAUACCUGAAGCUGGGCAUCUGGAAAGAAAAGAGGUUUGUUUCGAUUUUUGAAGAGACGGGGGAGCGGAGGGCUCGUCUCAUCCAGGGGCCCUGAACCAAGGAGCGCGGAGUUUGAAAAGCCAGCAGCUCGGGGUUCGGUGGCACCCGCCCCAUCGGCCGAAGUUGGGGGGGGUGGGGCGCCAAGCGCGCGGGGUGGGGGAGGUCCUGGUCUUUGGCUUCUCUACUCCGUCCUGUUUUAACAGCGAACAUGUCGCGGCCUGUCAGCCUUGAGAUUCUGGGAUAAAACCGACAUUCCGGGGAGGAGACAACAUGGCUGAUUGAAGCCAGCUUUCCACAGAGGCUCCUGUCCAGAAGGAGACUUAAAGGACAAAAAUUCAGCAAGUAACCUGGUGGAUUUGAGCUGCACUAAGAGAGAAGGUUGUAGAACGCACGUCAACCCCGCUGAGGUGAGCUGCGACCACAAGGAUACAAACAAAAGACAAUUGUGUAUACCCGGAGUCUGCUAAAGACUACGCCAGAUGCUUGAGACACGGCUCGGGACUUGACAGAUGUGAUCAUGCUCCUUGUGGAAUUAUCAAGGCAAAGAACAAGAUUUAAACACGUAAUUGCAAGUAUUAAAAAGGAAGUGCAGAACAUCGUAAGAGCAUUUAGAGAUAGAAGUUAAACAAACCUGCUGGGUCAGGGAAGGUCUCUCUUAGGCAAAGAUGUUUCAGUUAAACCUAGAAGGAAAAAGAGAAUUUAGCAUAAAGUACAAGGAAAGGGAAUAUUGGCAGAAAGAAAAGCAGUUGACCUUUAGGUGGCCGAGAAGAGAUCUUGUUGCCAGUCGAUUCCUCAAAACAAGGAUAGAUGUACGGUUAUUUCCGGGGCACUGAGUAAUGAAGGAAUUAAUGGGGUAAGAGUAGAAGUAGAUUGCCAAUCACAUGGGAACUUACAAGUCAGGAAAAGUUUUCAGAAUUAAUCCUAAGCCUAAUGGUAAUAAAAGAAAUAAUAGGAAAAAUCACUUCAGUGUCCAUUUUACUACCGUGUCCAGAAUGACCAGGUAAGUGUGAGUGGAAGGCACCAAUUCAAACAGACAAUCCAUUUAGGUGAAUAUUAGCAUCAAUUAGGUGGUGGUGUCUCAGUAAGGGACCACCAUACAUUUGACUAAAUACGUGACAUUAUGGAAGGAGAUAAAGUGAUAAAUGUGAGAGAGGUUUAUGUGAUGGUUAAUUUUAAGUGUCAAAUUGACUGGGAGAUAUUUCUGAGUUUUUUUGGAGGUGUUUCCAUAAAAAACAAACAAAUAAACAAACAAAAAACCUAGCCUUUGCGUCAGUAGACUGAAGACCUAUCAUUUCCAUUAUGAGAAGGUAUCAUCCACUCCAUGAGCCAGGAUAGAGCAAAAAGGCAGAAGAAACAAUCUGUUCUCUCCAAUCUUACGAUGAAAUAUAUACCUUCUCAUGCCUUUUGACAUUGAAGCUCCUGUUUCUUGGACCUCCAGACUGUGGGACAUAAACCAGUGGGGCCCCUCUACUAGUCCCUGAGCCUUCAAACUCAGAUGGAAUAAAGCCAGCUGAUUCCCUGGUUCUCCAGCUCGCAAAGAGCUGAUGGUGGGACUUCUCAGCCCCCAUGAUCUUGGCAACCAAUUCUCAUAAUAAAUAUACAUAUACAAACAUACAUGUAUAUGUCUGUAUAAAUAAAUAUAUACAUGUGUACAUACGUAUAUGCAUUUAUUAAUCUGAUUGAUUUGGUUUCUCUGGAGAAUUUUAAAACAGUCUGUGAAUUAGAUACAAUAGAAUUGAAUAUUAAUUAAAUUAGGAGGUAAAAAUGAGAGGACAAGCCAAUUGUAUGAUCCUAGUUACCUAUCAAUUAAAAGUAGGUGGUUCUGCUAUUUACUAUGAUAAACAUUUGCAGAGAUCAGGGAAUGAAGGAAAAAAAGAAAUUUUUGUUUGCACCCACUGAAUUUAAGUUUCUUAUGAGUCAUCCCAAUGGAAAUAUAAAUCACAAUCAAAACAUAAAUUUGGAAUUUUUGUGUGACUUAUGAGCUGGGUGUGAGUUGAGCUGGAAGUACAUUUUGCUAAUAAAGCGAAUGGAAGAUAUUAUUUU